AUACGUGCUAAAAGUCGAAUUCAGCGAUGAGUUCGAUGCACUUAUCGGAGCAAAACCUUUCCUGGUCUUAUGCUAACUCUGGAUAACACUGCUUAUCGCAUGACCUCGUGUCGGCGAAGUUACAUUCAAGUAUCUGCCUUAUCAACUUUCGAUGGUAGUGUAUUGGACUGCCAUGGUGUUGACGGGUAACGGAGAAUCAGGGUUCGACUCCGGAGAGGGAGCCUUAGAAACGGCUACCAUGUCUAAGGACAGCAGCAGGCGCGUAACUUAUCCACUGUUCAUUGAACGAGAUAGUGACGAGAAAUAACAAGUCCGUUCUCUAUGAGGUCGGACAUUGGAAUGGAUGGAAUCUAAACAGUUCCAUGAGUACCCACGAGAGGGCAAGUCUGGUGCCAGCAGCCGCGGUAAUUCCAGCUCUCGUAAUGUAUAGAAUUAUUGUUGCGGUUAAAAAGUUCGUAGUUGGAUUUUCGACUGUUCGAGGGUCGGCCCUAACGGGACGUACUCUUGGCAGUGUUUGCAUCCGACUUGUAAGCGAUUAUAAGUUGGGUGCGGAUUACUUUGAACGGCUUAAGUGCUCAAGGCGAGUCUUCGGACUGAAUACCGGUGCAUGGAAUAAUGGAACAAGGUUUCGGCCGAGUUUUAUUGGUUUUGUCGGCUAAAACAAUGGUUAACAGGAACAGCUGGGGGCACUCGUAUCGCUGCGCGAGAGGUGAAAUUCGUGGACCGCAGCGAGACGCCCUAAAGCGAAGGCAUUUGCCAAGAGUGUUUUCAUUAAUCAAGAACGAAAGU
rnacentral:rRNA from 1 species